ACAAAUGCGUUGACGAGACCAGUAGCUUAUGCGGAAGGUUCAGAGAGAGGUGCGGGUGGUGAGAGCAUCUUACGGGAAGGAUAAGUGAAGACCAGCUCCGAGCGGGUCCUUAAUCGGACACGGUGAUUCCGUUAUCAUCAGAAUGAAGUGGUUUGAAUGGGUGAUGAUCCGUUCAGGCAAUCAGGGUGGAACCGCGAUGUUGUAUAGUCGUCCCUUCU
rnacentral:ncRNA from 1 species